CUUCUACACUGCUGGUGGCUAGUAGUUUGGUGCAGCUCUUCUGGAAAACAGUACAGGAAUUCCUUAAAAGACUAAAAAUAGACUUACCAUAUGAUCCAGCAGUCCCACUCCUGGGCAUAUAUCCAGAGGGAACCUUAAUU